UUCUUCAUUGAUACAUGUAGAGAGAGAGAGAGAGAGAGAGAGAGAGAGAGGGACGGCAGGAGGAAGAAGAGAAGAAUAGGGGAAAACUUAGAGAAGAUUUAGUUAGCCUUGAAUUGAAGUUUAAUUAGGUAACGAGCUGAGUAAUCGGGAGGUGCCAAAACCAUAAGUUGGCAUACUUCGGUCGACUCACAGAUAGCAGGGGUUCGUAGGAUGAUCCACUACCGGUCGGCGUUUUGGGGUUGGCUUUAAGGUUGUUGUUUGUGUCGGUGGUGGUGAAUCGUCUUGUACAUAUUAUCAACUCGUUUUGUAGCAAUGAUGUAUUACACUUUAGUAUGCCAAGUAUGUAAUGGUAUGGGUUUGAUGUCGACUCUUUUGUUAAUAUUAAUGUUAAGUCUUCCGCUGGUUUAUUCUGAGU